rnacentral:rRNA from 1 species
GACGAACGCUGGCGGCGUGCUUAACACAUGCAAGUCGUACGGUAAGGCCCUUUCGUGGGUCCUCGAGCGGCGACGGGGGGCGUAAGAGGUACAUAACCUUCCCACAACUUUGAGAUAACGCUAAGAAACUGGUACCAAAACUGGUACUGUGCUCUUGCUUCAUGGUGGGGGUUCGAAAGUUCCGGCGGUUGUGGAUGGACUCGCGGCCUAUACGCUUGUUGGAGGGGUAGUGGCCUACCAAAGCGGCGACGGGUAGCAGGCCUGAGAGGGUGACCGGCCGCAUUGGGACUGAGAUACGGCCCAGACUCCUACGGGAGGCAGCAGUGGGGAAUAUUGCACAAUGGGCGCAAGCCUGAUGCAGCAACGCCGCGUGCGGGAUGACGGCCUUCGGGUUGUAAACCGCUUUCAGCAGGGACGAAGCUUUUUGUGACGGUACCUGCAGAAGAAGCACCGGCUAACUACGUG